AUGGUUUCAUGUUCUUUUAAAAGCCAGCAGGUGUAGUAGGGUUCUGUGCAGCAGGAUCACAUCACGAAACCUUCAGCAAAGCCACACUGUUGACACUGAGCAACCAUGACAGACAGGACGACAUUCCGAUGUCAUGAAUAUGGAGGAUGUGUAGAUGGUGUGGUCUAGUGUUGUGUGGAGAAACUGCUGCUGACUAAACAGAUUAGUGAGGAUUUAAUGCUGCAAGGUUUUUACUUGGUCGAUAUUCUGAUCCGGUUGCGGAUGCCUACAGCUUUCACACAGCUGUAAUCCACGCUCGCUCGCAGUGGAUCCGCUGCUGCAGGGAGCUCCAGCGAGGAGGGAAAUGUGACACAAGGAGGCGGGUCUUACAGAGGAAGAAAAGGAGUGCUGAGUGAAUUUCAUUGGCUGUUUGGAGUAGAGUACACGGUGUACCCAGUUAAUGUCUAUGACCCCGGUGUAUUUGUGAUGCUAAUUUUCAUUGACAUCCUUCAGAUUUUCUUAACCAUCUCUGCAGGGGAGAUGAAAUUACUUAAUUCAACCUCUGUGUUUUUCAUGGCCUCUAAUAAUGGAAAGCCCGGCUCUUCCGUUGGUUUUGACCCAUCUCACAACACAUCAGCAGACAUGAUCAUCAGACUGGGCAGACUGACACCUGGAUACUUCCGCCUCCUCCAGAGGCAAGUAGCAGGUGAGGUGCAGACACAGCCACAGGACCGGGCCGUCAACCAGAUCGCUAUGAUGCUGGCCAUCAUGGGCCUGAGUUUGUCCUACUACAGUGCCAAACAGAUGACGGAUAAGGUCCAAGCCCAGCCUGCACCCUGAAGUGAUUUGAAACACUCCGAUCGUGGAGACGAUGGAUGAACCAGUGAGAAGUGAAGGAGGUGGAGCGAGGAAGCAGAAGUGGAGGCGUAGCAGCGUCCCUCUGGAUUCAGCACUUUUCUCACCUCACAGUCAUACUCGCACUCGGACACUGAAUUUGUGGGAUCCCUCAAUCACCAUCCAAAAAGCUUUCAUAACUGCAAUUAAGUGUUGUCUAUAUGUUCUGUCACUAGGACCUUCAGGGAUUUGUGGGGGUGACUCACUCUGGGUCAUGGAUAGAACAGAUUUUCUUUAAUAGACUGGUUCGGGUGGGUGAUCAAUGCUAGCUAACUGGGUCUGAACUUUAGUCAUUACAAUGGUACAUGCUUGCAAGAUGCCAUUUUCUAAAUUAUAUAAAGGAAAAGAAACUGUGAAAAAUGCAAAUGGAGUUAAAUUACAUGCACAGUAAUGCAUAUUUAAGGGAUGGCAGACUGCAAUUGAGAUGUACCUUGUAACGAAGUGACGGCAGGCCCAGAAAACAGUAAAAGGGGAUUAAAAGUUAGCUCAACCCUUUUCUUUUUUCUUUUUCCUUCAGCAAGACAAUCUUGCAGAGCCUUCUGAACAGGUUAGGAGCUGUAUUUAACAAUAUAUAAGAAUAUACACAUGUGAACUGUACCUGUCGGGUGUCUGCGAUUCAGUCAAUAUUUGCACAGAACUGCAGGGUUAUUUUUGAAUAUUACAAUGGAUUUGCAAAGGGACUUAUUCACUUUUUUUUUCUCUUGUGAUUUCACUGUUAACAUUUAAUGUUGAAGUCCUAUAUGUGCAACUACCAUAAGCACCCUGGUUAAGAACCUUUUCCUGCAGUAUGUUAAUGCAGACAUUUAACUUUACUGAAUUGCAUGGGUGUGACCUUUUAAUCAAUUCAUGUGUCUGUCUGGUUUUUAUUGAUGAGUGAAUGUAUUACUUUAUUUUGUAUGAUUUAAUAAAGCUGUGAAUAUUUUUGAAAGAUA